rnacentral:lncRNA from 1 species
GACUCAGCAUUUCAUUAUUACCCACAUUUAUUAAAAUAUCUACAUGAUCUGACUGCAAUCAGACUAAGUCAGGUAACAGCAACAGAAAAAAAAAAAAAAAAGAAAAGAAAAGAAAGCCUGUCACUUUAAGAAUUUGUAACGUUGGUCCCAUUAGCAUUCCUCUCUGGUUUUAUGCACUUGGUCUGUGCUGUGGGAUGUAGCAUAAAUUAUCUGCCUUCAGCAAAACGAACAGCUGAAAUGCAGGAUGGCCUGACAGUGCUUGUUAGACCAUUAGCUACUGUGAGUGCUCACUGCGGACUGACUGCCUUUCAGCUGUCUCAAGAAGCCUUUAAGUGAUUCAAAACCUAGAAGUCCAGUAACCCAGUAUCCAAACCAGUCCAGUACUCAACAGCAUGAGAGUUAGGGUUUAAUUAAUAAACAGCCCUCCAAUGGUUAUUUUAAUGUAAAAUAUCACCACAUUCCAACGUCUUUUGUAUUAGUAAAAAGCCAGCCACAGUGAAAAAAAGUGAAGCAAUGUUUUGGUAAAAUCCUUUUAACAGAUCUCUCUCUCUCUCUCUCUCUGUCUUCCCUCUGUAUGUGUUAGCAUGCAAGACAUAUAUGUAUAUACAUAUGUAUAUAUAUGUGAUAUAUAUAUGUAUAUAUAUGUGAGAUAUAUAUAUAUAUAUAUAUAUAAAAUAAAGUACUCAGUGUUUAUUAACUGACCAAUGGCAAGAAUGCCACAGCAAACUCAGUGUAUCCUUUAUUGUGCCCGUUGAUCUGGACAUUCCUGUUGCCAGGAUCUUUGCCUUCUACAAAAUAGGUAGUAUUUUUCUUUAAUUUUUAAAAAGUGUAUUCAUGUGUGGAUGUUUUGCUUGCAUGUCUGUCUGUCUGUACACCAAAUGCACGCCUGGUGCCUGUGGCGGUCAUAAGAGUGGGUUGGAUCCAGUACUAGAAUUACAGUUGUGAACUGCAUGUGGGUGCGGGGAUUCCGGGCCCAGGUCCUCUGGAAGAUCAGACUGGGUUUUUAAUUUCGAGGCAUCUCUCCAGCCUUUGGUAGUGUUUUUCUUUGCCCCACGUCACAGAGAAGAUCUUUUGAAAGGCUUCUUUGAAACAUUUCAAGCUAGCUACAUCUCAAGACUCAGAUCCUCUAUGCAAAUGAUGCUUUGUUCACCAAGCCCACAGCCCUUCAAAGUAAUGUUAUGUUGAGAAAUUCACUUUUUGUUGAUGGUUUUUGCAAUCAGUUCAAUAACUGACUCACUUCAGGUUUGGGCGCUGUGCAGUGUCUAGUUCCCCAGUGCCCAGAGUGCCACCUGAAAUGCUGCUGGACUUAACAGAGGUACCCUGAAGAGCUGGAGAACAUGAAGAAGAUGCAAACCUCCCAAUCUUUGGCUUCACACCACUGUUCCUCGCACCACUGGACCAAUGCCAGUUGGGUUCUUUAGGAACAUAGAACUGGCUGGAUUUGCUUACCACCCCAGCCACUUGAAUCUCAGUUCUGGCUCUGGGUGUGUGAUCCAGUGGUAGAACAUCUGCCUGGGAUGUACGCAACCCUGGAUCUGAGCCCCAGCACCACAAAGACCAUAAGUCCCAACUGCACACAUCUGCCUAUGUUUCUGGUGGCAGUGCUUGCUUUUCAGGGAUUUUAAAUAAAUUUAUUUGACAGGCACUUGAUCUUCAGCUCUGAGAAACUCCCUCCCGUUCUCUCUUUCUUUCCAGCCCUUUCCAUGUUCCAGUAGUAAAAAAGGUAAGAACAUUUCUAAAACACAAAAACAUUUAAGAGCUGGAGAGACGGCUCAGCUGUUAAUAGAAUGUACUGCUCUUAUGGAGGAAUUGAGUUCAGAUUUCAACAUCCAGGUUAGGUGGCUCACAAUCACUGUAGCUCUAGCUGCAGGGGGCAUCUGAAACCUCUGGGUUCUCUCUGCUCCUGCAUUUUCAUCCAUCUGUACACACACACACACACACACACACACACACUUGAUUACACACUCACACACACACUUGAUUAAAGCAUAAAAUAAAUCUUUAAAAAAAAAACCUGUUCAUUUAGCUAAACCUUAUCCUUCAUAUAUCUCUCUCAACC